rnacentral:rRNA from 1 species
UACAGAGGGGGCAAGCGUUGUUCGGAAUUACUGGGCGUAAAGGGCGCGUAGGCGGCCUUCUAAGUCGAACGUGAAAUCCCCGGGCUCAACCCGGGAACUGCGUCCGAUACUGGAAGGCUUGAAUUCGGGAGAGGGAUGCGGAAUUCCAGGUGUAGCGGUGAAAUGCGUAGAUAUCGGGAGGAACACCAGUGGCGAAGGCGGCUUUCUGGCCUGUUCUUGACGCUGAGGCGCGAAAGCUAGGGGAGCAAACGGGG